UCUUUCUCUCUCUCUUUCUAUCCCUCUCUGUCAGGUCUUAUUCCUCCUCCUCCACCUGUUCUACUACCACCACCUCUUGUCGUACCUCCAACAACCCUACUAGCAUCACCACUCCUUCCUCCACCUCCUCCUCCUCCUCCUCCUCUCUCUACUCCUCCAGUCUACCUCCUAACAGCCACGCCACCUACCAUCAGUACUGCUGCCCCGCGCGCCUCCGCCUGCCCAAGCCUCCCUGCGCCCUGCCCCCCGCCAAGCACCACGAGCAGGCAAGAGAGGACGAAGACGAUGACAUCGCCCAUCAGUUCUGUUGCCCCGCCUCCGAGUGCAGUAGCCCCUCCUCUAGGUAACCAGGGGCGACCGUGAGACCCUGGGUAACAAGCCCCCGUCCUCCCUCCACCGUGGUAUUCGCCAUCCCUUCUUCGCCCUUCAGUCGCCAACAACAAGACGACUUUUGAGUACGAAAAAGAUCUUUGAAGUUUAAAAAAACAGGGAUACCUGAAUAUUUUUUUCACUUUAAAGGCUUGUUUGCUCAGAAAACCUGAAGCUACGAGACAUAAAAAAGCAAACGACAAGGCCGGCUUUGCAACCCUGCUGCUAAUCUUGUUGAGGUGUUUCAAACCUGCGGCUCAGAUAAAGACGCUGAGCUUCAGUCUGCAGCGUAGCUCCGGUCCGAGCUCCACGGACACUCUGAGAACAAACUCAGACCUCGUCUCCCGCACCGUUCCUGCCCCGCCCCAGCAUGAAGCCAUGACCCCGCUGCGCCCGACGUCUGCCCCCCAGCGGCCAGCAGGCGGCGCUCCGGGCUGCUGCACAGCCGACCCUCCCUGAACGAGAAGAACUCUGCGGAGAGUUCAUGAACAGCCUGAGCAGCUCUGCCCGGUAACCGUCCGUCGUUCUGGAAACCCGACCCGCUCCGCCGCAGGGCAGCGGUGACCGGAUCCAUGAUGUCGACUGUCUGCUCCUUUAUCAGGCAGCCGGGUUCUUCUUAGAACUGCACCUUGUCUUAGGUCCAAUGUUUGAUGGUUUCUAAGCAGAUGAGGGUCUGUGUUGAUGUUUGGAGGAACAUAAAUUUGCCAGAAGGAUUUUGGAUCUUUAGGUGAAACUAAGAGACCGGAUUUCAGUCCAUCCCACCUCCAGCCUGAAGCAGCAGAUUGUCGGAGAUGCAUAAACGCUUGACGUGCCCUGUUGGCAGUUUUAGGGAGAACCCCGGUGCCUAACCUGUACAGCACACACACACACACACACACA